rnacentral:rRNA from 1 species
GACAGAGGGUGCAAACGUUGUUCGGAAUUACUGGGCGUAAAGCGAGUGUAGGCGGUCUCGUAAGUCGGGUGUGAAAGCCCUGGGCUCAACCCAGGAAGUGCACUCGAAACUGCAGGGCUAGAGUCCUGGAGAGGAAGGUGGAAUGCUUGGUGUAGAGGUGAAAUUCGUAGAUAUCAAGCGGAACACCGGUGGCGAAGGCGGCCUUCUGGACAGUGACUGACGCUGAGACGCGAAAGCGUGGGGAGCAAACAGG